rnacentral:rRNA from 1 species
AUUGAACGCUGGCGGCAGGCCUAACACAUGCAAGUCGAGCGUGCGGCGGACGGGUGAGUAAUGUCUGGGAAACUGCCUGAUGGAGGGGGAUAACUACUGGAAUCGGUAGACAAUACCGCAUACCCUCAGAUGUGCCCAGUUGGGGGUGGCUAGUAGGUGGGGUGACGGCUCACUUAGGCGACGAUCCCUAGCUGGUCUGAGAGGAUGACCAGCCACACUGGAACUUAGACACGGUCCAGACGCCUACGGGAGGCAGCAGUGGGGAAUUUUUCACAAUGGGGGCAAGCCUGAUGCAGCCAUGCCGCGUGUGUGAGGAAGGCCUUCGGGUUGUAAAGCACUUUCAGCGGGGCGGCGUUACCCGCAGAAGAAGCACCGGCUAACUCCGUGCCAGCAGCCGCGGUAAUUC